ACCUUAGACAACGGAUGUCUUGGCUCCUUACACGAUGAAGAACAUUGCAUAAUGUGAUAAUUGGCUGGAGUAGCAACAUUACGACAAGUUCAAUCUUUGAAUGCACAUUGCAUCGAAGUCUCUCGGGACUUUCGAUAU
rnacentral:rRNA from 1 species